rnacentral:rRNA from 1 species
UACGAAGGGGGCUAGCGUUGUUCGGAAUCACUGGGCUUAAAGGGCGCGUAGGCGGAUUCUCAAGUCCGGGGUGAAAUCCCACAGCUCAACUGUGGAACUGCCUCGGAUACUGGGGGUCUCGAGGGUGGCAGGGGUAUGCGGAACUAUCGGUGGAGCGGUGAAAUGCGUUGAUAUCGAUAGGAACUCCGGUGGCGAAGGCGGCAUACUGGUCCACUUCUGACGCUGAGGCGCGAAAGCCAGGGGAGCAAACGGG